GAAAAAUUUGAUUUUGGUUUUAAAGUUUGAUUUAUAUUUUUAUUAUAUGUAAAUUUUUAUAUAAAAAAAUUUUUAAAUAAGAUUUUUAAAUUAAAUAGCAAUAAUUAAAUUUAUACAAAUAAAAGUAAUUUUGAUAUAGAAAUAUAUAAUAGUAUUGAUAAAAUUUGUGCCAGCAAUCGCGGUUAAACAAAUAAUACAAUUAAAUUUUUAUUUAAUAAUAGUUAAUAUAAAUAUUAUUAAUUAAAAAUUAAAUUUAUUAGGUGAAAUUAUAAAUUUAAAUAAAAUUAAAUAUUUAAAUUAUGAAGCUAUGAAAUUUUUAUAAUAAACUAGGAUUAGAUACCCUAUUAUAAAAAAUGUAAAUUUUAAUAUUAGGGGAGUAAUUGUUAUGUUCUUGAAAUUUAAAAAAUUUGGCGGUAUUUUAGUCUUUUCAGAGGAACCUGUUUUGUAAUUGAUAGUCCACGAUUAAUUUUACUUAAUUUAAAAGUUUAUAUAUCGUCGUAGAUUGAAUAUUUUAAAAGAAAAAAAUUUUCAAAAUUUUAUAAUUAAUAAAAGAAAUCAGAUCAAGGUGUAGCUUAUAAUUAAGUUUUAAUGGGUUACAAUAAAAUUAUUUAAAUGGUUAUAAUAUUUAAAAUUAUUAUAUAAAGUGGAUUUGAAAGUAAUAUAUUUAAUUUAAAAUAUAUGAUUUAAGCUCUAAAAUAUGCACAUAUCGCCCGUCGCUUUCACUGAAAAUUAAGGUGAAAUAAGUCGUAACAUAGUAGAUGUACCGGAAGGUGUUUCUGGGUUGAC
rnacentral:ncRNA from 1 species